rnacentral:rRNA from 1 species
AGUGAACGCUGGCGGUAGGCCUAACACAUGCAAGUCGAACGGCAGCACAGUAAGAGCUUGCUCUUACGGGUGGCGAGUGGCGGACGGGUGAGGAAUACAUCGGAAUCUACUUUUUCGUGGGGGAUAACGUAGGGAAACUUACGCUAAUACCGCAUACGACCUACGGGUGAAAGCAGGGGAUCUUCGGACCUUGCGCGAUUGAAUGAGCCGAUGCCGGAUUAGCUAGUUGGCGGGGUAAAGGCCCACCAAGGCGACGAUCCGUAGCUGGUCUGAGAGGAUGAUCAGCCACACUGGAACUGAGACACGGUCCAGACUCCUACGGGAGGCAGCAGUGGGGAAUAUUGGAGAAUGGGCGCAAGCCUGAUCCAGCCAUACCGCGUGGGUGAAGAAGGCCUUCGGGUUGUAAAGCCCUUUUGUUGGGAAAGAAAAGCAGCAGGUUAAUACCCCGCUGUUCUGACGGUACCCAAAGAAUAAGCACCGGCUAACUUCGUG